UAGAGGGACAAGUGGCGUUUAGCCACACGAGAUGGACGCAAUAACAGGUCUGUGAUGCCCUUAGAUGUUCGGGGCCGCACGCGCGCUACACUGACCGGAUCAGCGUGUGCUCUCCUUGGCCGACAGGUCCGGGAAACCCGUUGAACCCCGGUCGUGCUAGGGAUAGGGAAUUGCAAUUAUUUCCCUUGAACGAGGAAUUCCCAGUAAGCGCGAGUCAUUAGCUCGCGUUGAUUACGUCCCUGCCCUUUGUACACACCGCCCGUCGCUACUACCGAUUGAAUGGUUUAGUGAGGUCCUCCGAUUGGACCCGGUCCGGGCGGCGACGUCCGAGCCGGCGUCCGAGAAGACGAUCUAACUUGAUCAUUUAGAGGAAGUAAAAGUCGUAACAAGGUUUCCGUAGGUGAACCUGCGGAAGGAUCAUUA
rnacentral:ncRNA from 1 species